AUGACUCACCCCCGGUUUUGAGGCUAAACCGGUCAAACCCUCUUGCACGCCCCGCAUGGCGUGACUCACCGAUGUCGAUGCAUGUCCAGCCUCUGCCAAGCCUCCGACGCCUCCAAGUCUUUUGCUCCCAGCUCCCGGGCCACCUACUCGACUUGCCUCCAUCCCGCUUGACUCGAUCGACGCAGUCUUUAUCACCGUACAUGUACUCUUGCUCUUCCGGGCACCUUGUGGAUCACCCAUGACUCCGCCCGGACUCCUCGGGUCCCUCAGUCCAAGCCUACUCG
rnacentral:lncRNA from 1 species